CAAUAGCGUAUAUUAAAGUUGUUGCAGUUAAAAAGCUCGUAGUUGGACCUUGGACCUGGACAGGCGGUCCGCCUCACGGCGUGUACUGUCUUGCUGGGUCUUUCCUCUUGGUGAUCUGUUGUUUCGGCAGCAGGGAACCAGGACUUUUACUUUGAAAAAAUUAGAGUGUUCAAAGCAGGCUCGACGCCGGAAUAUAUUAGCAUGGAAUAAUAAAAUAGGACGUGCGGUUCUAUUUUGUUGGUUUUUGGAAUCGCCGUAAUGAUUAAUAGGGACAGUCGGGGGCAUUAGUACUCACAUGCUAGAGGUGAAAUUCUUGGAUUUUGUGAAGACUAACUGCUGCGAAAGCAUUUGCCAAGGAUGUUUUCAUUAA
rnacentral:rRNA from 1 species